GCGGGGGUAGUCUAGCCUGGCAGGACGUCGGCCUCCCAAGCCGAAGGCUCGGGUUCGAAUCCCGACCCCCGCACCA
rnacentral:tRNA from 1 species